CCUACGGGUGGCAGCAGUGAGGAAUAUUGGUCAAUGGGCGAGAGCCUGAACCAGCCAAGCCGCGUGAAGGAUGACGGUCCUACGGGUUGUAAACUCCGUUUGUCGGGGAGCUAUUGAGUCCACGUGUGGGCUUAGCGAGAGUACCUUAAGAAAAAGCAUCGGCUAACACCGUGCCAGCAGCCGCGGUAAUACGGAGGAUGCGAGCGUUAUCCGGAUUUAUUGGGUUUAAAGGGUGCGUAGGCGGAAUAUCAAGUUAGCGGUAAAAAUUCGGGGCUCAACCCCGUCGUGCCGUUGAAACUGAUGUUCUUGAGUGGGCGAGAGGUAUGCGGAAUGCGUGGUGUAGCGGUGAAAUGCAUAGAGAUCACGCAGAACUCCGAUUGCGAAGGCAGCAUACCGGCGCCCAACUGACGCUGAAGCACGAAAGCGUGGGUAUCGAACAGGAUUAGAUACCCCAGUAGUC
rnacentral:rRNA from 1 species